rnacentral:rRNA from 1 species
UACGUAGGCAGCAAGCGUUGUUCGGAGUUACUGGGCGUAAAGGGUGCGUAGGCGGCUCUGUAAGUAUGGGUGUGAAAUCUCCCGGCUUAACUGGGAGGGUGCGCUAUAGACUGCGGGGCUCGAGUGUGGGAGAGGAAAGUGGUAUUCCUGGUGUAGCGGUGAAAUGCGUAGAUAUCAGGAGGAACACCGGUGGUGUAAACGCUUUCUGGACCAUAAACUGACGUGGAGGCAACGAAAAGCGUGGGUAGCAAACAGG